AUGCUAUGUGCCUGCCUAGUUGUCUCAUUCUUCUGGCCUCAGUUUCCCUGUAUGUAAAAUGGGAACAAACCCGUCGUCAUCCAUCUUUCCUGCCCUAAACUGUUGGAAGGUUGAAAGCAUUGGAAAACACGAAGCCAUCUGCUUGUGGCUCCCUUUUUGUCCCCAAAUCAAUAGACAUUUGAAGAUGAGCAUAUCGGUGCCUGCCGGCAGCCAGACUGACUAGCAGACUGGGGACCACUGCAAGGGGGAGGCUGAGUCAGCAGGUUGGUUUCUUCCAGGGCUUUGUUUAGAGGGGAAGAAGUCAGGCGAGUAUGAUAAUAAAGAAUCGAGCUGC